ensembl:lncRNA
GAGAACAACACCUCCCCACAGUUGGAGCCAGGCCGGUCUUCUGAGAGACCAGCCUGCAUCAGGCCAGGCCGGGAUGGCCAGAGAAGAAGCUAUGGUGUUUGCUAUGUGUGGUUUCACAUGUCUCACUGCGCUGGCAUGGCCAACAGGCCUCACGGCAGAUGGGUUGGUUCUACUGAAGCCUACGAGACUUCGAAGAGGUCAAUCAGCAGCUCAACUCAUCGACCCUAAACACAGCCUUGGCCUUUGAGCCGUACCGCACCUUGGCAACCAGCGCCGCUGCUGAGCGGCAGCAGCACAACAUCUUGUUCUCGCCAUUGGGCUUAGCGUCAGCUCUGGCGCUGCUGUCCCGGGUUUGUGGUUCCGAGAGUCGGAACCAGACCCUGGAGGCCCUGGGGCUGGCGGCCAAUACUACAGAGGAGAGUGUGGAGGCCACCUUAUCUGCUCUUGCAGAUAUGCAACUCAGCCUGUCUCUACGCGGGGGGGGUGUAGGGUCCAAAGGGUAGAAUCUGGAACUGGAACAGGAGCUGGCAUUGGGGCACCAGCAAGGGUGGAAUUUGUAGGGGAUGAUGCUGCAAACCAAACUGAUGUAGAUGAUUGGGCGGAGGGUAAGGAUGGAACUCGGGGUGGUGUUCAUGCUGGCAGUCAGCUGGAGUUUUGAGCAGCCUACAUGUGGAUGGAAGACCAUCCCUAGACUAUGACAGUUUCAUGCUCAGGCCUUGGCACAACAGCUUUGACUCGUUGAUGACUUGGAAGCCUCUGACAAACUUGAACUUACCAAUUAUGUGUAUUUCAAAAGGUAGCUUCUUCAUAGUUAAUGGCUGAUGUUAUUUUCAGCUUUUGUAUAUGCAUAAUGUAUAUUAAUGGUGUGAACAAUCAGACCGAUUUGUAAAGACCUUCAAAAACAUGUUAAUAAGCUUGAAAUCAGAAUGAACCGCUGCUAAAUUUGUAAAAGUAAAAUCAGAACACUUUCAAAAUGUGCUCUCUGUGUCAAGACAAUUGCAGCCACUACAGAGCAUCAGUCAUUGUUGUCUACGUGGAGCAGAUGCUCUCAGCCAGUCAACAGUGGUGCUUUAUACAGGCAUGCAACUUUUCCCUCUUACAAUUUGUUUUUCCUAUUUCAUAACGUUCUCUUUGUCACUGCUGCGUGAAUCAGGCCGUCAACCAUUUGAGCGGCGCCACACGGUGCCAAGGAGCUUCCAGCCCAACGCCACCACCACCAGCGUGGAGGUGGCCAUGAUGUUCUAAGGUGAUGAUGCUGUACGACACGGUGGUGCGUCUGGCCCACUCCGAGCGAACUGGCCUCGCCGCUCCUGCUCCCUACAGCUGAGCCGCAGCCCCUGGAGCCUCUCCGACGGACGCAUGGCGCCGCAACCUGAAGCAGUGGUAUGUGAGGGCAGGGGGCAAAAUUGUAAAAUUGCAAACUGUGGCGGAACAAGGUGCAAGCCAUGUUGGGCUGUCCUCUGAGGCUCAUGUUUUCAUGAGGUCUUGCAGUGGCCCAAAGUGUCAGCAGAUUUAAGGAUGAGUGGAAUUAAAUAAUUUCCCCUGUGCCGUUCUGCAUCCCCUGCAGGGUCUCACUGAAGAGAAUUCCAAAAACAACCUUCAGAAUGAUGCUAUGAAACACAAUGAUUGUGAAGUUAUUUAAACCAAAAUACAAUACUUUAUUCCCCUGAUGGAACGUAUCCUGGCUCUAAAAUAUAUAUUUUAUGAGAUUUCUACUUCCAGGUCGAUCUAAUUGAGGUUGAAUAGAAUUGAAUCUGUUACGCUCAGAGCAUUGACUUUUUUGGCAUUUUUGAAUUCCACAUCAUCACAUCUUUCUGUUGGCAGCAGCGACGAGGAGACUGCAACCUUCCUCAAAUGCGUUCAUGAAACAAACGCAACGUUUCCCACAUCAUUUUCAUCCAUUCAAGGCGGGCAGAAAUCCGUUUCCCUAAGUUCCAACUAAGGAAAUCCUACAGUUUAGACAGGAGGCCUCCUGAGGAACUCUGGGGUGUCAUCGGUUUUCUCGCACUCAGCCGACUUAUCUGGAAUAUCGCAGGAGACUCUGAAACUCGCCAAGGCUCCUCGUGAGGUCAUGCCCGAGGUGGAGGAGAUCCAGUAUGAAGAUGGGGGAGACCUGACAGUUCACCGGACUUCUCUGUUCCCUCGAGGAUCACCUUUAACAGGCCGUUCAUGCUCAUAACCUACGGCCAUCUCACGGGGAGAAUUAUUGAUCCUACAAAUGUCUACAGCGGGGUGAACAGCGUAGCUUUAUUGGGCUUUGCUAUUGAUAUAACACUGCGUUCACUUAUAUUACUCGAUUUGUUUUUCCCCCCCAACAGAAUGGUGUAUCAUUCUGGGGAAAAACAUUUUCCUGCAAUUAUAUCAGCAUGCAGAGUGCUUUGUUUUACCUUCAAUUUUCCAAACCAUUACAGCCUGAUUUACAGUUUCUUUCCCCCCUAUUUGCACAAAAUUAUGAAAAGAAAUUCAAAUUGAAGUAAUUUAUCUGUAUGACUGAAUCGCUUUCUACUCUUGCAAAAGCAUAAAACCCUUUUCUUCCAUUACAAAAGCUCUAUUGUCAUUUUUUCCCAUCUCUUUAUCGCUUUGUGCAAUUACAGAGAAAUGUUUUGCAGGAGAAAAGCACUGUUACAUCUACAGUACGCAUUUCAGUUUUACCUCAGCACCAGACGGUCUUGAGCAGAUGACAUUUAGCUCAUUGAGGAGAUGAUAAAUG